rnacentral:ncRNA from 1 species
AUCAGGAAUCAAGUGGUGGUGCAAAGCGAUCAGGAAUCAAGUGGUGGUGCAAAGCGAUCAGGAAUCAGGUGGUGGUGCAAAGCGAUCAGGGGUGAGGUGGUGGUGCAAAGCGAUCAGGAAUCAAGUGGUGGUGCAAAGCGAUCAGGAAUCAGGUGGUGGUGCAAAGCGAUCAGGGGUGAGGUGGUGCCCACACGCAGUCGGCGGGCUGGCCGUCCAGCUUUUGUUGUGAAAUCUCUGUUUGAUUACGGUAAACGGCGAGACCUUGACUUGCUGAUUGGUGUGCGCCUGCGUUAGCAGGCGUUGGAGAUUACGCGCAAGCGUGUCUCUUUCUUACACCACUCAGAGGGACACUCGGCGUUGCUAUUGAGCGUAAGCCGAAGGAAGUUUGAGGCGAUAACAGGUCUGUGAUGCCCUUAGAUGUUCUGGGCUGCACGCGCGCUACACUGACGGGGGCAGCGAGUAUGCUUUGGGUGUUUGUGGUGGGGAGCGUGAAAGCGUUUUUUCUUGCCAUGAACAUCUAUUCCUGCGCUGGAAGGCGUGGGGACUCUUGUGAAAACCCGUCGUGCUGGGGAUAGAUGCUUGCAAUUAUUCAUCUUGAACGAGGAAUUCCUAGUAAGCGCAAUUCAACAGAUUGCGUUGAUUACGUCCCUGCCCUUUGUACACACCGCCCGUCGCUACUACCGAUUGAAUGGUUUAGUGAGGCCUCGGGAUUGGCGCGUGGGCGCUGGCAACAGCUGCCCUUGUCAUCUUUUGCUGAGAACCUGGUCAAACUUGAUCAUUUAGAGGAAGUAAAAGUCGUAACAAGGUUUCCGUAGGUGAACCUGCGGAAGGAUCAUUCCAA